rnacentral:rRNA from 1 species
GAAUCCCGUUUUCGACACGGACUACCAGAGCUUUGUGAUGUGCUCUCGAAGAGUCGAGUUGUUUGGGAAUGCAGCUCUAAAUGGGUGGUAAAUUCCAUCUAAAGCUAAAUAUUGGCGAGAGACCGAUAGCGAACAAGUACCGUGAGGGAAAGAUGAAAAGAACUUUGGAAAGAGAGUUAAACAGUACGUGAAAUUGUUGAAAGGGAAACGCUUGAAGUCAGUCGCAUCGAUUAGGAAUCAACCUUGUCUUUUUUUGCUUGGUGCAUUUCCUGGUCGAUGGGUCAGCAUCAAUUUUGACCAGUGGAAAAAGGUUAAGGGAAUGUGGCAUCUUCGGAUGUGUUAUAGCCCUCGAUUGCAUACAUUGGUUGGAAUUGAGGAAUUCAGCAUGCCGCAAGGCCGGAUUUUUUAAUCACGCUCAUGCUUAGGAUGCUGGCAUAAUGGCUUUAAUCGACCCGUCUUGAAACACGGACCAAGGAGUCUAACAUGCCUGCGAGUGUUUGGGUGGAAAACCCAUGCGCGCAAUGAAAGUGAAAGUUGAGAUCCCCUUCAAAAAGGGAGCAUUGACGCCCGGACCAGAGCUUCUGUGACGGAUCCGCGGUAGAGCAUGCAUGUUGGGACCCGAAAGAUGGUGAACUAUGCCUGAAUAGGGUGAAGCCAGAGGAAACUCUGGUGGAGGCUCGUAGCGAUUCUGACGUGCAAAUCGAUCGUCAAAUUUGGGUAUAGGGGCGAAAGACUAAUCGAACCAUCUAGUAGCUGGUUCCUGCC